CCUACGGGAGGCAGCAGUGAGGAAUAUUGGUCAAUGGACGAGAGUCUGAACCAGCCAAGUAGCGUGAAGGAUGACUGCCCUAUGGGUUGUAAACUUCUUUUAUAUGGGAAUAAAAUGUUCCACGUGUGGGAUUUUGUAUGUACCAUAUGAAUAAGGAUCGGCUAACUCCGUGCCAGCAGCCGCGGUAAUACGGAGGAUCCGAGCGUUAUCCGGAUUUAUUGGGUUUAAAGGGAGCGUAGAUGGAUUGUUAAGUCAGUUGUGAAAGUUUGCGGCUCAACCGUAAAAUUGCAGUUGAAACUGGCAGUCUUGAGUACAGUAGAGGUGGGCGGAAUUCGUGGUGUAGCGGUGAAAUGCUUAGAUAUCACGAAGAACUCCGAUUGCGAAGGCAGUUCACUGGACUGCAACUGACACUGAGGCGCGAAAGUGUGGGUAUCAAACAGGAUUAGAUACCCCAGUAGUC
rnacentral:rRNA from 1 species